rnacentral:sRNA from 1 species
ACUUUCAUAGAAAGAUUUAGUUUAGCUCCAUUCGGCAUCGUCGGCAGUCGACUGUUCUUUCCUAUAUCAACUAAAAAAAUAAAAUUAUUCAAAAUAAAAUUUUAUACAAGCCGGUUAACAUUCGUUGAAAAUAAGUAGCUACUAGUUCAUUUGGUUAUUGUGGACCAAACAUUUGCAACCCAGUGAAGAUGUUAUCACAGGAUGGUAUUUCCUAGCCAAUGGAUCUUUGCUGCCGUAAAUAUUAAUGGCCUCUUCAGCAGUUGUCACCAUCAGCUGGACAAUAAAUAUGUAGUUUUGGAUAC